CGGGGAUUAAUGUAAUGGUUAACAUAAUGGGCUCAUGUCCCGUAAAUGAAGGUUCGAAUCCUUCGUCCCCCU